UUUGAAUUAAUGUUUAAAAUUAUUAAAUAUAGGUGAUCUCUCCGAUUCUCUCUAAAAAUAGUUUGCAAGAAACGUGAAGCUGGCCACAUUCUCUUUCUUCAAAUUAAACAUGACAGACAAACAUCAUAAGAAAGAUGAACGAGAUCCCAACGGACGCUUACUCAGUCUGGUACGCUGGGCGUGUCGCGAGAAAUAUGAAGUCCUCCGUUUGCGUCCUUUCAUGGUGAGGACUCCCAGCGUCAGUCGUGGGAGGGGACGAUGUGUUCAGGUACAUCGAGAAGGGAUAUCAGACAGGGGACUCGCUCAUGCGUGCGCGUCUGAUCCUAAGAGGGCAACAUCACUAAGUCGCUACCAACACUUGCAUCAAACUCCUGAAGUUAUUAAUUUUUACCACAUGAUUGAUUUGGAGUGUCUGGAAGAGAUAAAUGCACCACCGCCUGAGUCCUCCGACAAUGAGGACGAUCAUGCUUGACAUAUUUCAAUUUGUCUAUUAUAAAUUCUCAAAUUUCAUGUUUAUAGACUUGAUAAAUUUUAUGUAGCAUUUUAAUACAGGUUAUCCAAUUUGUAAAUAUUGAAUACAAGUUAUUCUAAUUAUGUGAGUGUACUAUUUUGUUC